rnacentral:rRNA from 1 species
AGCGAACGCUGGCGGCAGGCCUAACACAUGCAAGUCGAACGAACCCUUCGGGGUUAGUGGCGGACGGGUGAGUAACACGUGGGAACUUGCCUUUAGGUUCGGAAUAACUCAGGGAAACUUGUGCUAAUACCGAAUGUGCCCUUCGGGGGAAAGAUUUAUCGCCUUUAGAGCGGCCCGCGUCUGAUUAGCUAGUUAGUGAGGUAAUGGCUCACCAAGGCUACGAUCAGUAGAUGGUCUGAGAGGAUGACCAGCCACAUUGGGACUGAGACACGGCCCAAACUCCUACGGGAGGCAGCAGUGGGGAAUCUUGCGCAAUGGGCGAAAGCCUGACGCAGCCAUGCCGCGUGGAUGAUGCAGGUCUUAGGAUUGUAAAAUCCUUUCACCGGUGAAGAUAAUGACUGUAGCCGGAGAAGAAGCCCCGGCUAACUUCGUGCCAGCAGCCGCGGUAAGAC